rnacentral:rRNA from 1 species
AUUGAACGCUGGCGGCAGGCCUAACACAUGCAAGUCGAACGAGUGGGGGGCGGGUGGGUCAUGUCUGGGACACUGCCCGAUGGAGGGGGAUAACUACGGGAAACAGUAACUAAUACCGCAUACCUUCGGCUAGGCCCAGAUGGCAGGAGCUAGUAGGUGGGGUAACGGAUAACCAAGGAGACGAUCCCUAGCGGGUCUGAGAGGAUGACCAGCCACACGGGAACUGAGACACGGUCCAGACUCCUACGGGAGGCAGCAGUGGGGAAUAUUGCACAAUGGGCGCAAGCCUGAUGCAGCCAUGCCGCGUGUAUGAAGAAGGCCUUCGGGUUGUAAAGUACUUUCAGCGAGGAGGCGUUACCCGCAGAAGAAGCACCGGCUAACUCCGUGCCAGCCGCCGCGGUAAUAC